rnacentral:rRNA from 1 species
GACGAACGCUGGCGGCGUGCUUAACACAUGCAAGUCGAACGGAAAGUCCCUGCUUUGUUGGGGUGCUCGAGUGGCGAAGGGGUGAGUUACACGUGAGUAACCUGCCCUUGACUUUGGGAUAACUUCAGGAAGCUGGGGCUAAUACCGGAUAGGAGCUCCUGCUGCUUGGUGGGGGUGGGUUAGUUUCGGCGGUUGGGGGUGGACUGGCGGCUUAUGAGCUUGUUGGUUGGGUAGUGGCUUAGCAAGGCUUGGACGCGUAGCCGGGCUGAGAGGGGCACCGGCCACACUGGGCCUGAGAUACGACCCAGCCUCGAACGGGAGGCAGCGGAGGGGAGUAGAGCACAGUGGGCGGGAGCCUGACGCGACCAAGCAGCGCGCGGGAAGACGGCAAUGGCGUAGUAAACCGCAUUCGCCUGUGACGAAGCGUGAGUGACGGUAACGGGAGAAGAAGCACCGGCUAACUACGUG